UGGGAGUCAGAACAUGGGUGAUAAGGUCCGUGUUCGAAAGGGAAACAGCCCAGACCACCAGCUAAGGUCCCAAAAUAUAUGUUAAGUGGAAAAGGAUGUGGCGUUGCCCAGACAACUAGGAUGUUGGCUUAGAAGCAGCCAUCAUUUAAAGAGUGCGUAAUAGCUCACUAGUCGAGUGACACUGCGCCGAAAAUGUACCGGGGCUAAACAUAUUACCGAAGCUGUGGAUUGUCCUUUGGACAAUGGUAGGAGAGCGUUCUAAGGGCGUUGAAGCAUGAUCGUAAGGACAUGUGGAGCGCUUAGAAGUGAGAAUGCCGGUGUGAGUAGCGAAAGACGGGUGAGAAUCCCGUCCACCGAUUGACUAAGGUUUCCAGAGGAAGGCUCGUCCGCUCUGGGUUAGUCGGGUCCUAAGCUGAGGCCGACAGGCGUAGGCGAUGGAUAACAGGUUGAUAUUCCUGUACCACCUAUAAUCGUUUUAAUCGAUGGGGGG
rnacentral:rRNA from 1 species